CAACCGCGGCAAAUAUCACUUUCCUAGAAUUGUCGCGACGUCUGCGUCGCCUUUAUUCGCCGACUUCGAUCGACGAUCAUCGAAAUUCACGACUCCUUCUCGAAAUUCAACCACGAUGGUCCAUCGGGAGAUCCCUCUUUCCUUCCGCUGUGGCGAAGGGAGGGGAAAGAAGAAAGAGGAGGAGGAGGAGAAGGAGGGAAGAGAAAAGGAAAGGGAAAAAAAAGGAAAGCGAAGGAUGUCGGGAGGAGUAGGAGGAGCGGUGGUAGAAGAUAGGAAGAAGGAAGGGCAAGGUUGGGGACAGUUUGAUCGAAAUGCGAAUAUUCGCGUGCGGUCGAUGGUGGAUGAUAACGAAGUCUGGAACUGGAAACGAAUCAGGGGAAAAUUAUUAGGUACUCCUGUUUCGUACGAAUAGCCGGUUCGAUGCUAUCUGCCUUCUCCUUCCAAGAAUUUCGCGGUAUAAAUAGGAAGCUCGUGGUCAAAGUCGAAGUGGAAGACGGAGUCGUGGUUUGGAUUCGAACGGGGACAAGUGUUAUAAAAGUUGAGGUAACGCGAGGAAUAUUGGGCGAGAGAGCGAGGAGAUUUAUGCACCCCUCCGUGGACGUCGACAUUCCAAACUGCACGAAAUCGAAACUCCGGCUCCCGACCGGUUACCGUUCUAAUUGCGCGCACGAUUGAUCGGUAUCGAGCCGCGUCGCGUCGCGCCGCUACUUACUUCCUUUUCUCCUCUCUUUGAUCUUUGAUCCGUUCACUGACCCUCGAAUCGCCGCUACCGCAUCGCGAAACGCGUCUACCCACUAGUCCGGAAUCCAUGGAAAUUUGACGACGGAUUGGAAAAUCGGAAUCGGCGAUAUCGACGCGUUUACCUGUUUCUGUCUUGAAUGGAAGAAGAAAGAAGAAGAAGGAGGAGGAGGAGGAGGAGAAAAAGGAAGGAGGAGAAUGCAUAAAAGAGGAAAUACCAGGAUGAUCCUGGGGAAUGGGGAGCGUUAACCCGAUCGUCGGAUCGGCAAGGACGAGAGCGGUUGAGGCGCCGUCGAAGAAAAACAAUAAAACGCGAAUUGGCACGUCUGGCGAAACAGUUGACAGUCGUAAAGUUCACUGGUUCACUCGUCUCUACUCGUGCAUCCAACAUUGUAUAAUACAUACGUAUUCGACACGAGCGAAAUCUCGAUGUAUAGAUACAUAAGUACGUGAUACGUACGUUUACUUUCGUUUUAUCUCUCGUUUUAUAUAUAUAUAUAUAUAUAUAUUCGUCGAGGAUGUUGUUCGCAAAAAUGCAGACGCUUUGAAAUAUUUGUACCGUUUUGAAGAAUAAUAUUUUUAAACGAAACAUCGAAACAGAGUGGAACAGAGACGCGUAGUACGAGUAAUCCUCGAGAAUUUCCUCGACCGAUUAUCAGAGAGAGAUGGAAAAAAUAAGAGAGGAUGAUACACGGUUCGUUGUUUUUCCAUGUUCUAUUUCCGAUUAUCAAAUUUUUAUGCACGAUUUAACCACGGACAACAAAGCUCGUUCAAAUUUAUCCGUGUGUUUUUACGUUUACUUUGUGUAAUUUAUAAUUGGUAUCACGUUGGUUUCGCGUGAUAAAAUAAUAUUUCCAAAAUAAAUUCUUAUCGUUAGCAUUAAAAGCAUCGGUUCGACAAUUA